rnacentral:lncRNA from 1 species
CGCCUACAAACUUCUUAUUAAACUCAUAAAUGAGUAGGUACUGUGUAGUUAUGCAGCUGAGAAGGCAUAAACUAUUAGCUUAUCAACACAAUUUUUCAAAUACAUGAAUGAAACUUGCAGUUAAAAAUGAGAACUCAACAACCAGUUCUCUUAAUAAGUUCCAAAGUGUAAAUCAGUUUAUGUACCGUGUGAAGAGUGUGUACGUCAAAACAUGUAUGUACAUAUUUGUCUGUAUAUAUGCAGGCGUGCGUGUGUUUGGCAGCGUGAGAAUAGGAGGAGGGUAAAAAAAUAAUAAGUUGAGUUGCAGAAAAUGACAAAAUUUAGCCUUUUUUGUGGAAAUAAUGUGUGAGAUCACAGUACAGAAGUUAAAAAACAAAAGGCAAAUAAGAUAGACAAUUAUUAUUUAUUGAUAGUAAGGUGGAAAGAUAGGGGGAAUCUACCCUUCAACAUAAACUCAUCAUCAAUUUUCAAUGUUUUUGACACUGAACACUGAGUAAAAUUUAACAUAAAAUCCUGUACAGACAAUGAAAAGGUAAAAAUUGUGUGCUGUAAAAGGAUAAUUUUUUGCACCCUUCUUACAUAAUAAAGCAAUUAGCAGUUAAAUUGUAAAAACAAUUUAACAGUUUAUCAAAUGAAUUUACUAUCAUGGAUUUUUCCAAUAGUUAUUGAAAUUUCCAUGGCUGCCAGUUAAGAACUUCAAGAAUUAAGCAAAUUUUCACACCUGACAGUAAAGAAUUCUAAUGGAAAUUUUUAUGGCUGUCAGUGAAGAAAUUCGAGAAUUAAGGAAGGGUUUCUUGAGAAUUUCAACGAAAAAUUACCAGUCAGUAAAAAGAAAAUCUUCUGAUCAGCAGCAAUGGAGUGAUGAAGCACCAAAUAGAAUUAAUUAAGUCCUGAAUUUCCAUGUUGUCCCACAGCUUUCUUGAACUUCCAUCUUCUUCACAAUGAUCCAUACAUAUGGACAGAGGGAUCGGUAUUCAGAUCGAAAAAGUUCAAGAAAGCUGUGGAAAAGCAUGGGAAGGACUUGUAAAAAUUCAUCAACAUUUCACCUCUUCAGAUCUCUCUCAGCCUUCAGGUAUUUCUUGAUUUCAUCAUCUUGUAAAAAUGAAAAUUGCUACUUUACCUCUCCAUAUAUCUAUAGACAUAGAUAUAGACAUACAAGUAAGAAAGAAAUGAAGAGGGGCAUGACCAUACAAAAUUUGAAGGACCACUCUAGCAUAAACUAUAUGUAAAACCAGCUUU